rnacentral:rRNA from 1 species
GACGGAGGGUGCAAGCGUUGCUCGGAAUCAUUGGGCGUAAAGGGUGCGUAGGCGGCUUUUUAAGUCUGACGUGAAAGCCCAGGGCUUAGCCUUGGAAGUGCGCCAGAAACUGGAAGGCUAGAGUGCCGGAGGGGAGAGUGGAAUUCCUGGUGUAGCGGUGAAAUGCGUAGAUAUCAGGAGGAAUACCGGUGGCGAAAGCGACUCUCUGGACGGUACUGACGCUGAGACGCGAAAGCGUGGGGAGCGAACAGG